GAUGAACGCUGACAGAAUGCUUAACACAUGCAAGUCUACUUGAUUCUACUUCGGUAGUUGAUGGUGGCGGACGGGUGAGUAACGCGUAAAGAAUCUGCCCUUUAGUUUGGGAUAACCUUUGGAAACGGAGGCUAAUACCGGAUAUUAUGGAGACGUCGCAUGACGACUUCAUGAAAGCUAUAUGCGCUAGAGGAGGACUUUGCGUCCCAUUAGUUAGUUGGUGAGGUAAUGGCUCACCAAGACCGCGAUGGGUAGCCGGCCUGAGAGGGUGAUCGGCCACAAGGGAACUGAGACACGGUCCUUACUCCUACGGGAGGCAGCAGUGGGGAAUAUUGGACAAUGGGCCACAAGCCUGAUCCAGCAAUUCUGUGUGCACGAUGAAGGUCUUCGGAUUGUAAAGUGCUUUCAGUAGGGAAGAAAAAAAUGACGGUACCUACAGAAGAAGCGACGGUUAAAUAUGUGCCAGCCGCCGCGGUAA
rnacentral:rRNA from 1 species